GCACCACAACGGGUGGAGCCUGCGGUUUAAUCGGACUCAACGCCGGGAAACUCACCGGAUAAGACAGCUGAAUGAUUGCCGGGCUGAAGACUCUGCAUGACUAGCUGAGAGGAGGUGCAUGGCCGUCGUCAGUUCGUACUGUGAAGCAUCCUGUUAAGUCAGGCAACGAGCGAGACCCACGCCAACAGUUGCUAGCUCGUCCUCCGGGAUGGAGAGGACACUGUUGGGACCGCCUCUGCUAAAGAGGAGGAAGGAAUGGGCAACGGUAGGUCAGCAUGCCCCGAAUUAUCCGGGCUACACGCGGGCAACAAUGGGUGGGACAAUGGGUAUCGACACCGAAAGGUGAAGGCAAUCUCCUAAACCCAUCCUUAGUUCGGAUUGUGGGCUGCAACUCGCCCACAUGAAGCUGGAAUCCGUAGUAAUCGUGUUUCAAAAUAGCACGGUGAAUAUGUCCCUGCUCCUUGCACACACCGCCCGUCAAACCACCCGAGUGAGGUCUUGAUGAAGCCGUCGUUUUCUGCGGCGGUUGAAUCUAGGUUUUGCAAGGGGGGUU
rnacentral:rRNA from 1 species